AUUGAACGCUGGCGGCAUGCCUAAUACAUGCAAGUCGAGCGAGCGGCGGACGGGUGAGUAAUGUCUGGGAAACUGCCUGAUGGAGGGGGAUAACUACUGGAAACGGUAGCUAAUACCGCAUACAAUCAGAUGUGCCCAGAUUGGAUUAGCUAGUAGGUGGGGUGACUGCUCACCUAGGCGAGGAUCCCUAGCUGGUCUGAGAGGAUGACCAGCCACACUGGGACUGAUCCACGCACCAGACUCCUACGGGCGGCAGCAGUGGGGAAUAUGGCACAAUGGUCGCAAUCCUGAUGCAGCAGUUCCGCGUGUGUGAAGAAGGCCUUCGGGUUGUAAAGCACUUUCAGCUGGGAGGCGUUACCCGCAUAAGAAGCACCGGCUAACUCCGUGCCAGCAGCCGCGGUAAUAG
rnacentral:rRNA from 1 species